GGGUGCCUCCAUGUUAGUUCAUGAUAAAUCCAAGCUGUGGGAUUUACAACACGCAAAAUACACGUUAGAAACACAUUAAACUAGCUCUCUGGUAAACUGGAAGAAGAGCACAGUAAACUUUGUAGUCAGCAACACAAUCUGUAUACUGUAUGCUAUUAAUAAAACAUUGUCAGAUUAUAUUUGUAAGCAUCAUUAUUUCCAUUUCUAUGGCAUCAUCAUGUAUUUUACAAAUGGUUUCGCUAGUACUUAUGUGUAUGUUUAUGUAUGAAACCUAAAUUAAGCAUUAUAUGGGCGAAAACACAGGCCUAUAUCUGACAUGCAGUGAAUUUUGAUUUGUCUUCUUUGAUUCUUGUCUGUACUGUAUUACACGUCAGUGACACUCUAUGCAUGUUGUAUUACUGUAUACAUUUUUUUUUUCUUUUAAUACAGUGAAUAUAAAGAGGAGCUGAAACAAACAAGACAGGAACUUGAUCAAUGCAAGAAGGAUUUAGAGCGCUUCCAAGCAAGGAUGGCCUUUGAGGCAUCUGUCGACAUGGGAACCAGCGGUGCUUCAUGUGAGGACAUUAAUAAUCCUUGCAGAGAAUCAGAGCUAAGGAAGAUGUAUGAUAAAUUGAGACUACAAAAGUUGUCAAAGCAUAUAAUGGACAUAAAAAUAAAAUCAAAGAAAGACAAAACCAUAAGUGAGGCAAAAGAAAAGGAACGGCUUAAAGCAAUGCUGAAGGAGCAGACUGAGGCACUGCGACUCAUCCUGCAUGCAGCCGCUGCCUCCACCUACCCACCAGCCGCAGCACCAAGUAAGUGGUGAUGUGAAGCUAGGUGUAAACAGACCUUUACCCAUCCAGGCCUCCAUCAAACCUGGUGGUGAGUGGUAGAGCAAGAAGC